rnacentral:rRNA from 1 species
AUGUGCGGUGCGAAGGGAGGAGCCGCAGCAGCGGCGCGGUGGUGGAGGCUGCCCAUGGAGGUGCUGCUAUUGUGGGUGGUGCGCGCAGCGAGGAGCGCCUGGUCGGUGCCCGUCACCAUCGCGCUGCUCGGGAUCGCCGUGCUGGGCCGCCGGCUGUACCGGAUGUUGCGGCAGAGCAAGGCAGUGGCGCGCGUGCGGCUCUUCCUUGACAAUAAGGUCAGGCCCUUAGCCCCUUUCAACCCCAUGUCGCAUCCCAAUCGCUUGAUAUUGCACCGCUGUGCUUGUGCUUGA